UACGAAGGGGGGCUAGCGUUGCUCGGAAUCACUGGGCGUAAAGGGCGCGUAGGCGGCGUUUUUUAAGUCGGGGGGGUGAAAAGCCUGUGGCUCAACCACAGAAAUGGCCCUUCGAUACUGGGGACGCUUUGAGUAUGGGUAGAGGUUUGGGUGGGAAACUGCGAGUGUAGAGGGUGAAAAAUUUCGUAGAUAUUUCGCAAAGAACACCCGG
rnacentral:rRNA from 1 species